rnacentral:rRNA from 1 species
UAGCUUGCUAGAAGUGGAUUAGUGGCGCACGGGUGAGUAAUGCAUAGGUUAUGUGCCCCAUAGUCUGGGAUAGCCACUGGAAACGGUGAUUAAUACUAGAUACUCCCUACGGGGGAAAGUUUUUCGCUAUGGGAUCAGCCUAUGUCCUAUCAGCUUGUUGGUGAGGUAAUGGCUCACCAAGGCUAUGACGGGUAUCCGGCCUGAGAGGGUGAUCGGACACACUGGAACUGAGACACGGUCCAGACUCCUACGGGAGGCAGCAGUAGGGAAUAUUGCUCAAUGGGCGAAAGCCUGAAGCAGCAACGCCGCGUGGAGGAUGAAGGUUUUAGGAUUGUAAACUCCUUUUGUUAGAGAAGAUUAUGACGGUAUCUCACGAAUAAGCAC